rnacentral:tRNA from 1 species
GCACCCGUAGCUCAGCUGGAUAGAGCGCUGCCCUCCGAAGGCAGGUGUCAAGUUGGUUGGGGUA